CAGUCAUAAAAUGAACUAUUCUUUGGAAAGUGAAAUGUCACUGAAAAGUAAAUUUGUGACAGAACUGAUUGUGAAGAUUGUUGGAAACUAAGGUGUGCUGGAAGACACCUUAGUUUCCAACUGUGGGGGAGAGCCGGAUGAAGUGGAGGCAAUAUAUUUGCUCACGGCCAGAACAACCUAUGCCAGCUCCCACUUGCAAAAGGGCAGUUCAAUACAAUAUUACCAGAAUAAAAGAUAAUAGAAUGCAUGAAUUGAUUGGAGAAACAAAAAGAGUUCUUCAGGACUAGAAGUGCUGAAUGAUUAUUUUAAUGACUACAUACAUAUGUGAGGAGAAAAGAAAGAUGUCACCAGUAGAGAGGAAUGCA